UCCGAUUUGGCACCGGCAGUCCCCCUAGAGUCCCCGCCUUUACGCGCUGGCAACAUAGAACGAGGGUUGCGCUCGUUGCGGGACUUAACCCAACAUCUCACGACACGAGCUGACGACAACCAUGCACCACCUGUAUACCGACCUUGCGGGGCACCUAUCUCUAGAUGUUUCCGGUAUAUGUCAAGCCUUGGUAAGGUUCUUCGCGUUGCAUCGAAUUAAUCCGCAUGCUCCGCCGCUUGUGCGGGCCCCCGUCAAUUCCUUUGAGUUUUAGCCUUGCGGCCGUACUCCCCAGGCGGAGAGCUUAAUGCGUUAGCUGCGUCACCGACACGCAUGCGUGCCGACAACUAGCUCUCAUCGUUUACAGCGUGGACUAC
rnacentral:misc_RNA from 1 species